CACUCAGUGGCAGUAUUGGCAGUAGUGAAGUGACACGAGCACGUCGUGCGAGGAACGAGGAAUUGCGAGGAACGAAUUAAACGGAUUUUCGAAUCUGGAGUUGGAGUUUGGCCUUCGUCGCGGCCAGUCAUUCUCCUGUCGUGUCGCUCUCGGUGCUUUUUGCUCGAGAUGAGGUGGUGGUGAGUGCGUCACAGCACAGCGUUGUAUCAGCAUCAGUCAACAUCAUCGCUUCUCUCUGGUGUCGCGUUGUUGGGUUGCAUCGACUGCCGCAGCUGAUUGCGCGACCGUGGCCGCGCUGUUGCGAUCACGGUCUGAAUGACCGUCUCGCACGCUUGGAAUGAAAUCCAUCCGGCCUCCGCUGCUGUUGUCGUCGACGCCGUUGUUGUCGCAUACUAGUUUCACGAGGUUACGACAUCGUCGCAAAUGACAUCGUCGCAGGCUCGGCUACACCAGACUGAAUUCCACCGCCCGGCGUUCGUCUUCGGCUAGGAAAAAUGUUCUAUAAAAAAUAGCGGACAUGAGGAGUGACGCGGCGGCCUUUCGUCAUUGAUCCGUCGCGAGGACAAUUUUAGGAAGAACGAACAAACGAACGAACGAACGAACACGCGCGCAAGAGCACUUUUCGGAGCAUUCCUCCGCUUCUCUCGCUAUUCCGCAAGGAUCAAUGAAUGAAUGCGGGCAAGGCGACGUAUCGUCUCACGACACGUCUCAUAUGCCACAAACGAGGAUCGAGGAAUCACAACAGAUAUGUAACAAUAAGCUUUCCAUCAAGACUGCCAAUGUAAGACUGAAUUACUGAUGCAUGGCAUAAUUGUCUUUGAUGUCAAGUACGGUCAGCAUCAAUGGGAAACUGUUUUUCGUGCUUCAAGGUGCCACUUCCACCAUCGACCAGCACUGAUCACGCCAUUGUAUUGGAGCAUAAAGACGAAACGAUGGAACUUAGAGGUUUGUUCCCAAAUUCUUGCCAACAAUCCAGUUCUUUUGUGCCUGAAACACAUGCAAAUGGGAACAGGAAGUCUACAAGUACAUUACCUACGUUUAAUAAUGUAGGCUCGGAUAAUUGUGGAUCUGUACCUAAUGUACAAAGUAACCUGCGUUUAUCGCGAGGGUUCUAUGCACGAUUACAGCCAUUAGGACGAUCCAGUACAUCGUCGGGUCUUAAUUUAAGUACCGAACAUAGGCAGCAAAGGGAACCAUCAGAGAGCAAACUAAACGCUCUUUUCGACCAAUACAAGGAUCCUCAUGAAGAUGCAAUAUUAGCUGAUGGUAUAGAAAGACUCUGUGAUGAUUUACAAUUAUCACCUGAUGAAUUUAAAGUACUUGUGCUUGCAUGGAAGUUAAAUGCGGAGCAAAUGUGCCAAUUCACACGCCAGGAAUUUGUCACGGGUUUAAAAGCGAUGAAGGUCGAUAGUAUACGUGGUAUACAGGCGCGAUUGCCUGAGAUUGUUCAAGAAUUAACGAUCAAUAGUGAUUUGUUCAAGGAUCUCUAUCGAUUUACAUUCCGAUUUGGCCUCGACGUGACGUCUGGUCAAAGAAUCUUACCAGCUGAUAUGGCGAUCGAUCUUUGGAGACUCGUCUUCACGAUACGUGAACCUCCGCUCUUAACGAAAUGGCUAAACUUUCUAGAAUGUCAUCACAUCCGGGGAAUACCUAGGGACACUUGGAAUAUGUUUCUAAACUUUGCCGAGAGCAUCGGAGACGAUCUUGGUGCUUACGAUGAUGCGGAAGCAUGGCCAAGUUUAUUCGAUGACUUUGUAGAGUACGAAAACGACCAAAUGAACCAAAAUAUCACUAAAGAUGACAUUAUGAAAGAUACUUCUAUCGACAAAGCUUAAUGUUCUUUUAUCGACGAAGCUAAUGUUCAACAGAAAAAUGACAAAAGCGAAAGAAAUAUCAUACUUGAAAAUUCACUGUCUUUUACCCAUAGUAUCUGAUAUAGAUACAAUAAAUGUGGAAGGCUUAAAAGUACAAUUUAGAAACCUUGAAACAAUGUUUAUGCAGAUAAUUCAAUAAAAUAUAGA